UACGUAGGGACCAAGCGUUGUUCGGAUUUACUGGGCGUAAAGGGCGCGUAGGCGGCUUAACAAGUAACUUGUGAAAUCUCCGGGCUUAACUCGGAACGGCCAAGUGAAACUGUCAAGCUAGAGUGCAGAAGGGGCAAUCGGAAUUCUUGGUGUAGCGGUGAAAUGCGUAGAUAUCAAGAGGAACACCUGAGGUGAAGACGGGUUGCUGGGCUGACACUGACGCUGAGGCGCGAAAGCCAGGGGAGCAAACGGG
rnacentral:rRNA from 1 species